CCUACGGGAGGCAGCAGUGAGGAAUAUUGGUCAAUGGACGGAAGUCUGAACCAGCCAUGCCGCGUGCAGGAUGACGGCCCUAUGAGUUGUAAACUGCUUUUGUACGAGAAUAAUAGUUCUUACGUGUCGGGAUUUGAAUGUACCGUACGAAUAAGGAUCGGCUAACUCCGUGCCAGCAGCCGCGGUAAUACGGGGGAUUCGAGCGUUAUCCGGAUUUAUUGGGUGUAUAGGUUGCGUAGGCUGUCGGAUAAGUUAGAGGGAAAAGGUCGGGGCUUAACCCCGUACUGCCGCUUAUACUGUUCGACUAGAAAGCGGAUGCAGCAGGCGUAAUGAGUAGUGUAGCGGUGAAAUGCUUAGAUAUUACUCAGAACACCGAUUGCGCCGGCAGCUUGCUAAUCCGCAUCUGACGCUGAUGCACGAAAGCGUGGGUAGCGAACAGGAUUAGAUACCCUUGUAGUC
rnacentral:rRNA from 1 species